rnacentral:rRNA from 1 species
UACGUAGGCAGCGAGCGUUGUUCGGAGUUACUGGGCGUAAAGCGUGCGUAGGCGGUUUUGUAAGUUUGGUGUGAAAUCUCCCGGCUCAACUGGGAGGGUGCGCCGAAAACUGCAAGGCUGGAGUGUGGGAGAGGUAGGCGGAAUUCCUGGUGUAGCGGUGAAAUGCGUAGAUAUCAGGAGGAACACCGGUGGCGAAGGCGGGUCUCUGGGCAGUAACUGACGCUGAGGAGCGAAAGCGUGGGGAGCGAACAGG